UUGAUGCACGCCCACUGACCCCCUCAACCAAUCGCCUUCCCUGGCGCGAAGUCGACUGUGAAUUCAAAGUAAACCUAGGGAUUGUGGGAAGGUAGCUGAACGCGGCACCAGGAAAGAUGGAGGCGGCAGAAACUGAGGUGGAAGCUGCAGUCCUAGAGGUCCUGACUGAGGUGGCAGGCAUCCUGGAAACUGCAGGCCUCCAGGAAGAGGCAGAACUGUCAACCAAGAUCCUGGUUGAGUUUGUGGUGGACUCCCAGAAGAAAGACAAGCUGCUCUGCAGCCAGCUUCAGGUGGUGGACUUCCUGCAGAACUUUCUGGCUCAGGAGGACACUGCCCAGGAUCCCUUGGCUUCUGAAGACACGAGCCGACAGAAGGCAAUUGCAGCCAAAGAACAAUGGAAAGAGCUGAAGGCCACCUAUAGAGAGCACGUGGAGGCCAUCAAAAUUGCACUCAGCAAGGCCCUAACUCAGAUGGAGGAAGCCCAGAAGAAACAGACACAACUCCAAGAAGCAUUUGAGCAGCUCCAGGCCAAGAAACAAAUGGCCAUGGAGAAACGCAGAGCAGCCCAGAAGCAGUGGCAGCUACAACAGGAGAAGCAUCUGCAGCAUCUGGCAGAGGUUUCUGCACAGGUGAGGGAGCGUAAGAUAGGAACUCAGAAGGAGCUUGAGGGGGUGUUUCAGAAACUUGGAAACCUGAAGCAGCAAGCAGGACAGGAGCAGGACAAGCUACAGAGGCAUCAGACCUUCCUCCAGCUUCUGUGUACCCUGCAGGGUAAGCUGCUGUUUCCUGAAGCUGCCACUGAAGCAGAGAAUAUUCCAAAUGAUAAACCCCAGCAGCUGACUGGACCCGAGGAGCAGAGUAUAGGAGACACCAUGGGGAGAGACCCUGGUGUAUCCUCCAAGUCUGAUGGUCUACAGCCUGCUGGAGAUUCAAAUUUGCCAUGGCUCCCUGGAGGACAACAGCAUGGAGAAAGAUCCUAGAACAGUGGCUUGGACUGAAUUCAUCAGGAUACAUUCAGUACUGGAAACGCAUAAGGAUGGAUGGAGCUUUCACAGUGAUCUCCAAAUGAGUCCAGAGUGUUAAAAUCUGGGGAACAGAACUAUGUCAAAAGAAGAGCCUUUUGUACUAGAGGGAUCAUGGAACUACUGUCCAGUGCUACCUCAAGUUUCUGCUCCCCAUAUUCUGGUGCAGCACUGCUUUGCUACCCCAGGUGUGACUCAAGUGGACCCAGGUACCUUGAUCUUGAAAUUCCCAGCCACCAGAUAUGUGAGGAAUAAGUGUCUAUUAUUUAUACAUUAUUAUUAUGUUUACUGUUAUAAAUGUCUAUUAUAUAGUAUAUUUAUAGUUAAUUAUUUACUUUAUAAAUUACCCAGCCUAGGAUAUUUUAUCACAGCAACACAAAUGGCCACCCAACGACAAUGCUUUUUCUCAGUUUACUAUAGGUGUAUCUUAGAAAUUUAUUGUUACAACAUGUCAUGGGUUAAUACCUGGGGACUUAUCAUUGUCCAGGCAAUGAUAAUUCUGUUAGCAUGUUGUUGAAAGAUGCCAUAUCCCCCACCUAAAAAUCUGCUUUUUAGGACCAUGUGUGAUGCCAGCUGUCUUAGUAUAGGUCCCAACAAAAGAGACCCUGAUACAUAAAUUUGAGUUCAAGUAGUUUAUUUUGGGGGCAAUCUCAAAUAACACUAAGAAAAUGGGUAUUUUGGACAGGGUAUAAAUACCCUGAGCAAAAAUGGGUAUAAAUACAUGUGAGCAUGCCUCCUCCAUGGGGUAACUGAUUCUAAAACCUUUCUGAAACUCAGUGGAAACAGUGUAUAACAGAAUUAUUCUAUCUGAAGCAUAAGGAAUCUGGGUCAUCUUUGGUUGCUUUCAAGGGCAUCAUCAUUUUAGCAACUUGAAACUGCUUUGCAUAUGUGCCAAGAAAACUUCCUUGGGCUGAAAGAGCCAUCACUCAUCAUAGAACUACAGGUCCUUGUGUUGAGAAAUAAUUGAUAUGUAUAGAAAAGGUAUGAGUACGUAUGGUCAUAUGGUUAAUUUUAGUACUAUCACACCACUCUACACAAAUUAAUAAAAACUCACUGGGAUGAAAAGUCAUUUAUUUUAAAUAAAACUAAGAAGAGGGUUUACUUUAUUUUACAUCCUUUAUGCAUUCCAGUGCAUUAACCAGCACGAUACUUUUGAGGUAGAUUGAGAUUUCUAACAUCACUAAAGGAAACAAUAAUGCUAAGUUCACCAAGCACAAGUAGCUGAGUAUAGAUUUUCACCAAAAUUUAUUUGAAACCAAUGGCGAGAGUACCUCAGAUGGGACCCAGGCUAUUGCUAAGGCUAUUGUUCAUUAUGUGAUAUUAAAUUAUGCAAUUAUCAGUCUCUUUUGUGAAAACUCUAAACUUCACAAAUAACUAGGUAAAAAUAAUUGUUUUAUGUUCAAUUUUGUAGAUGGAAAAUCUUCAGUCAUUUAAUCUUAGCUGGUGACUGGCAAUACAAGGAAAUGGAUCCCGGUAAAAAAAAAAAAAAAAAAAAAGAUUUAGUCUUUACAACUCAGUGUUUAGUCCACCUUUUCUCUAAAGUUAAAGAUCUUUCUAAUGGGAAAAACCCACAAGAAAUAUCAAAGGCAAGUGAACAUGAAAGGAUAUGUGUAUUUGGUAUCAACUUUCUGAGUGAUAACCAAAAUGCUCUUAUUUGAACAAUUUUCCUGCAUGUGUUUUCUAAUUUGAAAUAUCUAGGAAUUUUCUCCUCGUAAAAUAAUAACAUUAUCAUCAUCACCAUCAUCUCAGAAAGAUGCUUAAUUAAAUGAUGAAAAGUGGUGAAGAGAGUGGUUGGGCCAUAUGUAAUUGAGUCUGUAGCUUAAGAACCAGCCUUUCAUAUUACUUGAAUUUCAUAUAUAUUUGUUUCACAUGCUAAACUUAAGAAAUACAUUUACAGUGUUUAUAGUUUAGGCCAGUGAUUCAUAUCACCAAGUUAGUUUUGUUUUACUUUACUUAAAUACAUUAAAGAUACCAGCAAUUAAUUCAUUUGUUCUUAGAGGAAAGUGAGUACUUAAUGAGUUUUAUGUUUUGUCCUUAAACCACUUGGAAUACAAUGAUGAAACCAAAUCCAUUGACUCAUGAGACUGAGCAGUCAGAAAAUAGGGAAUAUAAUGUCAUAUAAUCCUAUGAAGGAAACAUAUGAAGAUAAAGCUAAAAGAAGAAAAUGACAGAAAUUUUAUGUUAUAUAGGUAAUUAGCACUGAUUAGGGGACAUCUGAGCAUAGGCAAAAACAGAUAUGGCAGGCAGAAAGCCAAGGGAAUAGAGUCUUGGAAAGAGGAAAUGUUAAUGCAAUACCUUGAGACAGAAGAGUGCUUCAUGUAUUUGUGGGAUAGUUAGAAGAGCAUAAUGGUUACAGCAGAAAGUGUAAGGAAGAGGGAAAGAAGAAAUGAAGUCUGAAAGGGAAUUCAGGUCCAGAUUGUAUGGGAGCUUUAGUCUGUUGUGAGAAAUUUGGAUUUUAUUUUGAAUGAGUUAGGAAGCUAGGAAGGAUUUUAAACAAGGGACUGGCAUGGUCUGACUCAUUCUGAAAGAGCACAUGGCUGCUAUGUGGAGAAUAAAAUGUAGAGGGUAAGAGAUGGUAGUGGCAUUGAUUAGGGGAGUAACACUAGAGGUGGUGAUAAAUGGUCAGAUGAUGCAUAUAUUUUGAGACAAGAGCUGGCAUAAUGUGUUUCUCAUAGGUUUCUGUCUUAUACUUAGCCUUAAUAAUGUUUUGUGGUCAGCCAACAGUAUGAUGUGUGUAGUUCACUGUGGCCAGUUUGUCUGAAUCUGGAGAGAUGAAACACCCACACAAAACAAGUUACAUGAAGUGAGCUUAUUACUUAUAGGUAGGCAUCAGUAGAAAAUAGCUUAGGAUUUAUUGCAAGCUGGUCUUCCAAGGCUCAGAAAAGCUACUCUGGGGAGGAAGGAGUGUUGUGUAUAUAUACUUUACUUGCACCACAGCUGAAGGACUCCUGAGGUUUGUGCCCCAGGGUACCAUGAUACAUUAGGCUAAAGUGUUGAAGGAUAUCUUUUUUCUAAUAGGGAUUGAAACAGAGUGCAGGCUGUUCCAGCCAGUUCCUCCCUAUCUCAAGAUUUUGCAUUCUUUCCACAUUCUGCAGUUAUGCUUGGGAAAUACAAGUGAGAAAGAGAGGGGAACUGGGUUGAUCAAAGUCUACCCAGAGAAUUAUCCCAUACUAUGGCCCACUCUAUUUGACAGAAUUUAUCUAGAUUGUGUUUUGACAUUUUCCCAAUACUUCACAUGGUACCAGGUGGCAUAUUGAAAGUAAUAAAUAUGAUAGAAUAAUAGAGAUGACAGGAAGAAACAGAAUAGGAUCUUUUAAAUUAAAUCCCUUGUGACUGGAGAAGGUGUAUCCAGUUGCUCUAGCCUAGAAAGUCUCUGACUGUGGCUGUCAAGCUUGUCUUUCGUCCUUCUCUAGUGGUACUGGUUGCUGGCAGUGGAUCUGUAUGGGUCAAGUGUAUCUUUCCUUAACCUUGAUGUUCAAGGGUUACUAAGAAAGGCUAGUGAGAAAUGCAAACAAACAGCUAUUUAGAAAGGGCUCUGUUGGGAAGAGGACCUGCUGAACUUCCAGAUGGAGGUCAUCUCUCCACAUCUGCACUCAUCACUGUGGAGGCAGCUGCUCUCACUGACAUAUCAGACUCCUAAAGGGAUGUUUGUCCUUGAUAGUGAAUGUUCCAGUUCUCAGGUUCAGAAGGUCCUGAAGUUUAAGUGCUGGAAAGUAUGUUAGAGGCAUUUUAUCUGAUGGAUAAGAAAACUAAGGCAUAAAUGUCAAAUAUAAUAACCUUCUAUCACCACACAGUAGAAUAGAGACAGAGGUGACACCAGUUUAUAGCUUCAGUGGCAUAGGUGGCCAAUUCUUUCAGGAGUCAUUCUGAAUUUUUACAUAUUUAAUUAAGCAAGAGUUGCAAAUUGAAAGUCUUUGGGACUGAAUAACACCUUUGACACAGAACCUGUCAUUAUUCUUGAAGGAUUGUAAUUCCUAACAUUGAUAAGAACAGCUUCUUCCCUCUAUUUUUGUCAGGUGUCUGAAAAUGUAGUCCCACUGUUGUUGCUGUCUUGUUUUAUUUGGAGACAGUGUCUUGCUCUGGCUCAGGCUGGAGUGCAGUGGUGUGAUUCCAGCUCACUGCAGCCUUCGCCUCCUGGGCUUAAGCGAUGCUCCCACCUCAACUUUGUGAGUAGCUGGGUCUAUAGGUGUGUGCCACCACACCCAGCUAAUUUUUCUACUUUUUGUAGAUGCUUCCUCCAUGCUGCCCGGCUGGUCUGGAAUUCCUGAGCUCAAGUGAUUGGCCCACCUAGGCCUCCCAAAGUUGUGGUAUUACAGGUGUAAGCCACAGCACCCAGCCUUAUUUUUUAUUUUCAUUUUUUGUAAAAAUUUUCUUGCAGAAAAUUUUAGCAGAAUUAUAAGAAUAGCUCAAAAGAAAUCACAAUAUUAAAAAAACUUUCACAAUCCUAAAGAAAUGUACAAAAAUUCCCCAGAAAAUUAUUAUUAAACAUUUACAUGUCAUUCAAUUUUUUAUGGAGAAUAAGAAUGUGAAAUGUGUACACAUUGGAAAUCAUUGGGUAAGAAAUUUUUGCUAGCUAAUUUCUUGUCUCAACUGUGAGAAGUAAAACACAUAUCAGUAUAAUUUUUCCAAACUCUGUAAGAAUACUUUAUCAUACAGACCAGAACAUCUACCUACCAAUAAAACUUUUUAACAGGCUACUUUUUUCCAAUAUACUGUUAAGACAAAUAUUAUCUUAAGCAUUUUUUUUGGUUUUGUUUUUUUGUUUUAAAUUUAUGGUCACUCUGAAUUUUCAGGGUCAUUGUAUACUUUCAUGAGGUAACAUGAGGUAACAUGUUAUAUGAAGCUCAAAUGGGACUUUCAACCAUAAGUUUUAAAAUUUGUUUCUUUAACUCAUAUUUGCAAACUACCAAUAAUGCUGUUUUGUCUUGCUUUUGUGCAUUUGUAAAUGUUUUAUAUUUGAAAUUAUGCUGAUAGAUCAAUUAAUUUCAAAAAUUACAUAUUCAAAUAAGAUCAAUAACAACUUUUUUUUUUUUGCCACCUACAGAUUUAUUAAACUUUAUUUCCUCUGAGUCUCUGGACAGUCAGCAGCGAUGUAAGGCGAAGUGGCAAUAGCUGAAGGGGCCUGAGCAGAGCUGGUGCUGGGAGGGGCCGACAUGGACAGGAAGAGGAAGAGAUUUAAAUAUCCAGGGCUGAAAGCCAGUUAAUGGGUCUCCUUCAUCUGUUUUUGUAUUUUGUGUAGCAUCUCCUGCAUCCGCCACAGCUGGAAUAGGCAUAGGCAUCAAAAUGGGCCUUUUCAGAGAGUCCUUUAGUACUGGGGAAGUGCCCCAAAUUUCUAAUCCCUUAAGCCAGGACCUUGUAGCCCUGAGGUAUGAUGGAGACCCUGGACAGAACCACCUAUUGACCUAUCCAGGACCCAAAUAGGCAGCAGAGCCAGGGAUCUUUCUAUUACCAAACCAAGAGAUACCAAUGUUGAUGAUAGAACAGAGGACCUCCUCUAUACCCCAUACUGCUCUCACUUCCUCACCUUUCUCUCGGAUAAGCUUCUCAGUUUCUGGAUCUGUCCCUAGUGGGACAGCAGGGAUGGGGAAGUCAGUACCACUCUCUCGAGUCAGUUUGCUAAGAGGAGAGAAGGGUUGGUAAGGUUAGGAGGACCCCAGUACCCACUUAGAUUGGGCCUAUAGAAGAGCAAAAGAAAGGUUUGGUCUCACCCAAGGCUAGGCUUGGGAUCCCCCCUGCCACCUUUGUCCUGGCUUCUGGUCAUACUUGCAAUUCCAUUCCUUCACCACCAGGCGGGUAAUGCUCUGGAUGCACUGUGCCCGGUAGUUCUCAUAAUGUGUCUCCCGGGUCACAUCCUUCAGGUCCUGCAUGUGGGUAUGCACCAGCAUCGUCCUCAGCUUCACAAAGUUACAGUGCCCUGGGUUUUCCACUGCAUAGCAAGGCUAGGGGUCAGCCAGAGGCAUAGGUAGGGGAGAGCCACUGAGGGGCAAGGAGAUACCUGGUCAGAAGCUCAGUGCUUUAUCUUCCAUGAUGCCCCAGGGGUAGAGUUGACCCAGAACUCGCCGCCCUCUGGCCUCUACUACAGUGUUGCUGCCAAUGACUGCAAAUGGGAUGCUUUCCUGGAAGAGGUUAGGGGUGCCUGUCAACACUCUCUGUUCUCACCUGUUUCUUUCCACCUAUAUCGUCAUCUUCUCUGCCUCACUCUAGGAAGCUAGGGUCCUUUCCCACCCUGAUAGCCCAAAUAUAGAAAUCUACUCCCGUUUUCCACCCAGAAGAAACAAGAUGGGAAGGGGAUGCCCUAGAGUGGCCCCACCUUUAGGGCUUGAUCCUGUGAUUUGAAAUCCUCAUCCUCAUCAGAGUCAUAGUCUGGGAAUUGAUAGAUCUUGAUUCCAAAGCGGUCAAUCUCCUCCCGGAUCUGGCAAACAGAUGAAGGGCCCACAGUUCUGGGGACCACAUCCUUUCUAGAAACCCACCUGAUCCCCUCCCAUCACCAGCUUU